GUUUCAGAGCCAGACUUUAGGGACGGGAAGAUGAGGUGGAAAAGUUCUUUUAUUGCUGCCGUGCCACCACCUUCUCUACUAUCAGAUGGACAUGAGCAUGCAAACAUAGCAUACAUCAGCCAUUGAUCUAGCUUGUUGUCAGUGUCCUGUGACUGAUGGGCCUUCCCUCCCAACUCAGCAGGCGUUAUAUGAGCAAGCCGCUG
rnacentral:misc_RNA from 1 species